GGGUCAGUAGGUUGGUCGUGCCACCGGUACGUACUGGUCUCACUGAUUCCUCCUUCCUGAAGAACCGUAAUGCCAUUAAUUUGGUGUAGCGGGGAAACAGGACUGUUACUUUGAAAAAAUUAGAGUGUUUAAAGCAAGCUAACGCUUGAAUCAAUUAGCAUGGAAUAAUGAAAUAGGACGAUCGAUCCUAUUUUGUUGGUUUCUAGGAUUGACGUA
rnacentral:rRNA from 1 species